rnacentral:rRNA from 1 species
UCGCUUCUGGACGUUAGACGCGAGACCGGUCAGACUCCUACGGGAGGCAGCAGUGGGGAAUAUUGGACAAUGGGCGAAAGCCUGAUCCAGCCAUGCCGCGUGUGUGAAGAAGGUCUUCGGAUUGUAAAGCACUUUAAGUUGGGAGGAAGGGCCAUUACCUAAUACGUGAUGGUUUUGACGUUACCGACAGAAUAAGCACCGUCUUACUCUGUGCCGCAGCGCGGAAACGAGGUCGCGUAUCGGGUCGGCAAUUACGGGGGGGGGCGGGGGGUCGGGGUACUAAAAAGUUAAAAAACCCCCGGCAAAACCUGGGAACGCUUUCAAAACUGUCGAGCUAGAGUAUGGUAGAGGGUGGUGGAAUUUCCUGUCCACCGGCGAUAUGCUUAGUUCUUUUACGCGGCCCCUUGGAGCACGCGAUCCUUUUUGGUUGAA